GAUCCAAAUGACUUCCAAGGCCAUAAAAUAGAAAUCAGCUUUGCAGUGCUCAUGUUCCAAAUUCUCCUCCUCCUCAUCCUCCUCUUUUGAAAAGUGCCAAGUGUUGGUGAAUGUUCAGUUAAUCUAAUAAUGGAAGUAUUCUACAGCCAUAUAUCUAUUUGGAUCAACUUGACUACCUUGGAGCAUGAGAUCAGUUCAAUAGUCAAAUGUUUUUGUGCAUUUGAAUAUGCGGAGACAUUAUUGUGAAAGAAGGAAGAAUAACCUGGAUAACUGCCAAGAUAGAGUUAGGUAACAUAAACAAGAAAAGCAAAGAUGAAGAAAAAGGAAAGGAAAAUACACAUAUGUAAAAUAAAACUUACAGAUUUAAA